UUUAUUUAAAGUCUUAUUUAGAGAGAGAGAGAGAGAGAGAGAGGUAACGUCCUUGAGGAUAGCAGCUCGUCUACGCUCCGCUCAGUGAUCAGCGUUAGAAUGUAAUUCCUCAUUUCUUUAAAAAAAAAAAAAAAAAAAAAAAAAAAAAAAACUUUAUUUAGGGGGCUUGCUGGAAACAAACUACAAUGGAGGAAA